rnacentral:rRNA from 1 species
AACGCGAAGAACCUUACCUGGGCUUGAACCGCUACUGACCAACGGUAGAAUAUCGUCUUCCCGCAAGGGACAGUAGUAGAGGUGCUGCAUGGCUGUGUCAGCUCGUGCCGUGAGGUGUUGGGUUAAGUCCCGCAACGAGCGCAACCCUUAUUCGUAGUUGCCACCCGCAAGGGGGAACUCUACGAGGACUGCUCCGGAUAACGGAGAGGAAGGUGGGGAUGACGUCAAGUCAGCAUGGCCUUUAUGUCCAGGGCUACACACGUGCUACAAUGGCCGGUAUAAACCGCUGCAAACCCGCGAGGGGGAGCUAAUCGGAAAAAGCCGGCCUCAGUUCGGAUCGCAGUCUGCAACUCGACUGCGUGAAGCUGGAAUCGCUAGUAAUCGCAGAUCAGAAUGCUGCGGUGAAUACGUUCCCGGGCCUUGUACACACCGACAUA